rnacentral:rRNA from 1 species
AGGGUUUGAUCAUGGCUCAGGACGAACGCUGGCGGCAUGCCUAACACAUGCAAGUCGAACGAGAAAGUUCCUUCGGGAGCAAUUAAAGUGGCGCACGGGUGAGUAACGCGUAGACAAUCUGCCCUUCAGUCUGGGACAACUUUUCGAAAGGAGAGCUAAUACCGGAUAACAAUGCAUGACACAAGUUGUAUAUUUGAAAGCUUUAUGUGCUGAAGGAGGGGUCUGCGUCCCAUUAGCUAGUUGGUAAGGUAAAGGCUUACCAAGGCAACGAUGGGUAGCGGGUUUGAGAGGACGAUCCGCCACACUGGAACUGAGACACGGUCCAGACUCCUACGGGAGGCAGCAGUGGGGAAUAUUGCACAAUGGAGGAAACUCUGAUGCAGCAAUGUCGCGUGAGUGAAGAAGGCCCUUGGGUCGUAAAGCUCUUUUAUGGGGGAAGAUGAUGACGGUACCCCAAGAAUAAGCACCGGCUAACUAUGUGCCAGCAGCCGCGGUAAUACAUAGGGUGCGAGCGUUGUUCGGAAUUACUGGGCGUAAAGGGCGCGCAGGCGGAAUAGUAAGUCGGAGGUGAAAGCCCGGGGCUCAACCCCGGAGGGUCUUUCGAAACUACUAAUCUAGAGAGGGUCAGGGGCCGGCAGAAUUCCUGGUGUAGAGGUGAAAUUC